rnacentral:rRNA from 1 species
CACGUAGGGCGCAAGCGUUGUCCGGAAUUAUUGGGCGUAAAGAGCUCGUAGGCGGUCUGUUGCGUCUGCUGUGAAAACCCGGGGCUUAACCCCUGGCUUGCAGUGGAUACGGACAGACUAGAGGGAGGUAGGGGAGAAUGGAAUUCCCGGUGUAGCGGUGAAAUGCGCAGAUAUCGGGAGGAACACCGGUGGCGAAGGCGGUUCUCUGGGCCUUACCUGACGCUGAGGAGCGAAAGCGUGGGGAGCGAACAGG